UUUUAGCACAGCACGCACAGCCAGUC
rnacentral:piRNA from 1 species